AGUCAAGUAAUUAAGUGCAUGUGGUGGAUGCCUUGGCAGUCAGAGGCGAUGAAAGACGUGAUAGCCUGCGAAAAGCUCCGGGGAGGCGGCAAAUAUCCUUUGAUCCGGAGAUGUCUGAAUGGGGGAACCCACCUACUUUAAGGUAGGUAUUGCAACAUGAAUACAUAGUGUUGCAAGGCGAACGAGGGGAAGUGAAACAUCUCAGUACCCUUAGGAAAAGAAAUCAAUUGAGAUUCCCUCAGUAGCGGCGAGCGAACGGGGAUCAGCCCAUUAAGUUAUGUGUGUUUUAGUGGAACGCUCUGGGAAGUGCGAACGUAGAGGGUGAUAUUCCCGUACACGAAAGGGCACACAUAAUGAUGACGAGUAGGGCGAGGCACGUGAAACCUUGUCUGAAUAUGGGGGGACCAUCCUCCAAGGCUAAAUACUCCUGACUGACCGAUAGUGAACCAGUACCGUGAGGGAAAGGCGAAAAGAACCCCUGUGAGGGGAGUGAAAUAGAUCCUGAAACCGCAUGCAUACAAGCAGUGGGAGCACCUUCGUGGUGUGACUGCGUACCUUUUGUAUAAUGGGUCAGCGACUUAUAUUCAGUAGCGAGGUUAACCGUAUAGGGGAGCCGUAGAGAAAUCGAGUCUUAAUAGGGCGUUUAGUUGCUGGGUAUAGACCCGAAACCAGGCGAUCUAUCCAUGAGCAGGUUGAAGGUUGGGUAACACUAACUGGAGGACCGAACCCACUGUCGUUGAAAAGCCAGGGGAUGACUUGUGGAUAGGGGUGAAAGGCUAAUCAAGCCUGGUGAUAGCUGGUUCUCCCCGAAAGCUAUUUAGGUAGCGCCUCGGACGAAUACCAUAGGGGGUAGAGCACUGUUUCGGCUAGGGGGUCAUCCCGACUUACCAAACCGAUGCAAACUCCGAAUACCUAUGAGUACUAUCCGGGAGACAGACUGCGGGUGCUAACGUCCGUAGUCAAGAGGAAAACAAUCCAGACCGCCAGCUAAGGCCCCAAAAUCAUAGUUAAGUGGGAAACGAUGUGGGAAGGCAUAGACAGCUAGGAGGUUGGCUUAGAAGCAGCCACCCUUUAAAGAAAGCGUAAUAGCUCACUAGUCGAGUCGGCCUGCGCGGAAGAUGUAACGGGGCUAAAACUAUGUGCCGAAGCUGCGGAUGUAUACUUUGUAUACGUGGUAGGGGAGCGUUCUGUAAGCCGAUGAAGGUGUGUUGAGAAGCAUGCUGGAGGUAUCAGAAGUGCGAAUGCUGACGUGAGUAACGACAAAACGGGUGAAAAACCCGUUCGCCGAAAGACCAAGGGUUCCAGUCCAACGUUAAUCGGGGCUGGGUGAGUCGACCCCUAAGGCGAGGCCGAAAGGCGUAGUCGAUGGGAAAAUGGUUAAUAUUCCAUUACUUCUGUGUAAUGCGAUGAGAGGACGGAGAAGGCUAAAUCAGCCUGGCGUUGGUUGUCCAGGUGAAAG
rnacentral:rRNA from 1 species